UGUUGUUGCUUUUUCUGAAUUAAAAGAAAACAGGGACUAGAGCAAGGAAGAGAGCGAAGUUCAAGGGAGAAUCUGGCAAGUCACCUUGGGCAGCCCCUGGACCGCCGCCAGAGCUCUCUUGGAGAGGGUGAGGACGCCGAGCGUGUGAUGAGCGCCUAACAUUUUCAGAAUAAAGUACCAGACAGGGUACCAGGCCCUGGCCAUGACCACUUCCAGAAUAAUCCCAGGAAUGGAGUGGAGUGGCAAAUCCAGGUGCAGGAGUCCGCAUCCCACUUGCCUCCUGGCUCCACCUGCCUCAGACAGACCCAAGAAAGAAAACAGUGGCUAUGAUGUCUGAGGCUGCUGCGAUGGGUGCUCUCAUAGAUCCUGGGCUUUCUAAGGAAUAGGACUUUUUCAGCGUUCUCUCUGAAACCAGUGCCCAGAGCUUAGGGUGAGCUCCUGCUUUCAUGUAAGGUAAUGAAGUAGAAUGUCAAUCUAUCUCUAAAAGACAUUAUUGAUUUGAUGAGGUAGAAGGAACUUUAGAGAUUAUCUGGUUAGAAUCUUUGAUUUUACGGAAGAGAAAGCUGAAGGCCUGAGAGGUUUAGAGACAUGCCUAGGUCAGACAACUCACCUGCCCUCUAACUCCCUGUCCCCUGCUCCUUCCACUGGGCCACCUGCCAUCAGCAUUGCUCCUCCUAAGGGCAUUGCAACUUCAGCUUGCUGUGAACACCCACAUCUGGCUCUGCAAAUUUGGGAAGGGCUGAUCUGGCACUUUUGUACUCUGCAUGACAACCAGGAAAAGAACAACAGAAAAUUUCCCUAAAACAUCUCCCCAUUAAAAGCUCGCAUUUAGCCAUUCUCAAAUAUCUCAAAUUCUACCUGUGGGAAAGAGGUCUGACUGUCAUGUUGCUGUGGGAACAAUAUUGUUGUACAGAGUGGUCACCCGCUUUGAAGAACCAGUCCUGAUGUGGCAUUAGCCUUCGGCUUUGUAUGUGAUGCCGGUGAAUUGGCAGUUACAUACCUGUGUCCCCUUUAGCUAGUGGGGUGGCUGACAGGUGAGGAGGAGGUUGUUCUUUCCCAGCCUGAACCUGACUCCUUUUCAUGCAUUCUCUAUGGGAUGCUCCAACCAUUCCCCCUUGAGAUUCCUCUUCUAAGCCCA
rnacentral:lncRNA from 10 species